UUUGGCAUCAAGAAUAUAUAUACUUUAUAUGGUCGGAAACGCUUCCUUCUGCCUGUUACAUACUUUUCAACGAAUCUAGUACACCCUUUUACUCUACGAGUAACGGGUAUAAUCAACAAAAAGCAUAUGUAGACAUAAAUUGCACAUGUCGAGUUCCCCUACUAUUUAUAGUAAGCGUACGCAGCCGAAGUUUAAUAUUCUCUCUCUGGGCAUCUGAAACUUUAGGAACAGGUUUUUUUAGAACAUUCCAUCACUCCCAAUUCUUGAAUGUACUUUUUUAUUGUUUUGUCGCUAACAUUGUAUUUCUUGGCAAGCGCACGAUACGAUUUUGCUGUGCGACCCAGAACUUCAGCCUUUAAUUUGGCUCUAACUUGAGACUGCUGUAAUGGACACUUUUUUCAGGACCCGGGGCUCUAUCCAUUUUUUUUUCACUCUGAACAUCUGAAUUAACUUUAUAAAUAAAAGUUUUUUUGAAGUCCAUAGCCGAAAAGUAAUAAAAAAUUGAAUUUUUUUGCUGAUUUGGGUUAUUUACACAAUAUGUGCAAAUCAAAUUUUGACGCUCUGCUGUGCUCAGAGACAUUACCACGACUACUGAUUUUCUUGAAAACUAAUAUUGAUUUCGUUGCAAGCUGGAAUAGUACCGUUAAUUGCCAUGUGUUCUGUUCUUCUCCGUAAAUUCUUAGAAAUUCUUGCGAACAUGUUUAAUGUUUUUCGUAUUUUAUUCCGCUCACCUUAUAUACUUUAUAUGGUCGGAAACGCUUCCUUCUACGUAUUACAUACUUUUCAACCAAUCUAGUAUAUCCUUUUACUCUACGAGUAACGGGUAUAAAUAUGGUAUCAUUUAAGAGCUGCAAACACCUGGAAUUAAAAUUGAAGUUAACUCUUACAACUGUGUCAACACUUAAGUUUUACACUACCCAGCAGUACCAUACAUAAACUAUUAUGUAUCACUAAGUAGGAUUUAUAAUAACCGCCAUAUUACCGCUCAAUUCGUUCAAAAACUAGCGAUGAUAUAAACAUUAAUGAUUCAUCCAUAUUAACUGACAAUUCAUCACCGUUUAAAAUUAAAUUUUAUUUUCCAUUUCUUUUUCUUUAGAACUUUAGCUGUCUUCUUAUGACAUCACGCCGAGAUCUCAGGAACUAUAGAAGCUAGAGAAUUGAGAUUAGGCAAAGUUUCCAAAAACGAAGCGCAAGUUUGUUGACCCAUGUUGCCACGCCCACUCAAAUGCCCACAAACCGCCCAAACUUUUGAAAAAUGUUGUUGAUAUUUUUUCACAUUUUUGUAAGUCUUGUAAAUUGCCACGCCCAUUCUAACACCCCCAAAACGCCAAAAACUGUCAGAGUGUAACUUUCUCUUCGCGCUUCCACCAGCUGAGUAACGGGUAUCAGAUAGUUGGGGAACUCGACUAUGGCGUUCUCUCUUGUUUUUUUUUCUACCUCCACUAGAAUGUUUCUAUUGUAAGGAGGACCCUUACCUUAACCGAAAAAAUCACAAAAAAUUACACCGAAGAUACAGCGAAGGGUGAGUGAAAAAAUCAAAAAUACAAUCAAUAUUACAAUGAUUGCCCUAAUGGCAACUUACAGGGAAGAUAAUAAGAACAGAAAGAAUGGUAAAUCUAGAGACGAAUUCGUGGGUAGGAAGGGCACAAUCCAUUUUGAAUGACUACAAUAUCAUUCGGAACAAACCCCUGCACAGGGCAAUCGUAAUGUUCAUAGACAGAAAAUUGACGGAAAACGUUGACAUGGCAUUAGUAUCUUAUAAUGUUCAAGACGACGACUGGGACGAGAUUAAACGAGAGCUUACACUACGCAAACAAAAGGGAUUUAACCACGCUCGAACACGAGCUAGGUAUGCUAACCCAGGGAGCUAACACUUAAAGUGCAUUCUAUUUGCAAGUCAACAAUCUAUUUUUAUUAAUAAUGAACAAUCUAACGAAUAGCAACCGACCCCCAGAGCUUCGUAGGUGCCAUGAUCGAGAUCUACAAGAAUAAGGCACAGCAUUUGUUCAUCCAGGGCGUUAGCGACGACUGUUUUAGAUUAUUAAUGUUCAGCAAGCCUCAUAAUUUUCAGAGGUUCGUUUCUCAGGGAUCGGGCAGUAAAAGAUAUUUUAAUGGCCCUAAUUCCUCAGAAAAAGAUCAGAGAGUGCUGUUUCAGAUAGAGGUGACACCAAAAUCUGCAACCUUAAACUCUCAUGAAAAUGACCAACAACACCCUUCCGUACCUUAUUAUGAACAAGCUUGCGACAAUGGCGGGGGCUACAACGAAGAUGUCCCCUUCUUCGUACUUCCACAACUGCAUUUAUUCGACGACAUCAUAGGAGACGAUACGCUGUAAAAGCAAUGUAGCUACACGUACGUAUCCUAUCGAUAUACAAUUACCUCUUUUGGCAAAAGAAUCACCGAAUGUCUGCCCGCUGCUUGAUGCAGAACACUUACGCACUAUAGACCAAACGCUAAACUCUCUUAUAUACGAAUAUUCUAGUAUCUUUGAACGUGAGAGCUGAGACUCGUACCAGGACAGAAAAUCCUAUCUAUACGAAAAGCUAUCUCUACCUCGCGCCUAUGAGGGGCAGAGUUGAAAGACAGAUAGAUGAACUUUUGAACGAAGGUAUCAUAAGGGCUUCGAAAGGCCCAUCAAAUUCCCCGAUUUGGGGGAAACCUAAACCGAACGGAAAAAACAAUGCCGUAUGGUGGUCGAUUUCAAGCGUCUUAACACGGUGACAAGAUUAGACACGUUCCCGAUACUGGACAUUAAUAACACUUUGGCUAGUCUCGGUGGAACUAAGUACUUCACCACGCUUGAUUUAAAGUCAGGAUUCCAUUAAAUUCAUAUCAAGGAAUCAAACAUCAAUCACAUAGGGAAAAUAUGUUACGUCUUCAUUGACAAUAUUAUUGUCUUUAGCAAAGACUACGAGAGUCAUUAGGCGCAGUUUUCAAAAAAUUAAAGAAGGGACUUGAAGUGUCUGGAAAAGACACAAUUUCUCGCAAAACAGGUCGAAUUUCUUGGUAACAUAAUAAACCUUGAAGGCAUCAGGGAGGACAAAAAACAAAAUAGGACCGCCUGCAAAUGUCAAAGAAUUAAGAAGCUUUCUUGGUAUGACGUCUUAUUACAGGAAAUGUAUUCGAGUAUACGCCAAAGUCGCUUAAUCUUACACGGGGCGAACUUACAAAAGUAAAGUCUAGCCAAUCGAAACAAGUUCCAAUAGAACUUGAUGAGACAGCUUUGCAAGCAUUUGAUAACCUUAAAACUACAUUUUCCUCUUCUGAAGUUUUGAUGUUCCUAGAUUUCAAGAAACCUUUUCAUCUGAAAACGGUUCUUAAUCAAGAAAGCAAGAUUACAAGAUUCAUCACAUCUGAUACUUCACGUCGUAACACCCAUAAACGUAUUAUAUUUAGGAAUCAAUUAGUAUUCGAUCUAGAACAGCAAGAAUACUCAUGCGUAUACCCCCACAAGGGGUGUAUAGGUCACCUGAUCCUUUCAAACUGAACGACCAUUCCAGUUUAGUUACUUCUUUACAGAAGUUCCUUAAACCAUUAAUAAUUAUUGGCGUUAAAAUUUCAGAAACAAACUUACAAACAUUGCAAUCUGUUUGCUUUGACAAUUUUAAACUCUACAAAAUUUUAAAUAACGCAAAGAUUGGUUGUUAAUAUAUCAGAUAAGGACAAAAUAUGCGAAUUAAUCGAAAAAGGACAUCGCAGGGCUCAUAGAGGUCCCAAAGAGGUAAGAGUGCAGAGUGCAAACAUUUUACUUGCCAGAAAUGUCAAGCACAAUUCAUGCCAAUGUUGCAAGACCUUCAAAAACGCGCGCCACCCCAACAAACCUGCCCUUCAAUAAAUAAUAAUUCACAUUGACGUGUUCACAUUGGAGAAAAAAUUUAUCUCAGCUGCAUCGACAAAUUUACUACAUUUUCUAAACUAAACUCUAAGCAAUUCACUACUUCACAGUUCCUAAAAUAAUAUUCUCCGAUAAUAAGGUUUUCUUUCUCAAACCAUUCUUAAAUAUCUUCGGUCGUUGCAAAUACAACUGUACAACACCCUACACAGAAAAGAGAGGUCAACGGUCAGAUUUCACUCUACCUUCUUAGAGUUCCACCGUUGGCAAAGGGACGAACAUCCUACUUUCAAGAGUUAAGAGCUAGUUUCUAUAUCUGUUGACAGAUACAACAAUUCUAUUCACUCAGUGACAAACAAAAAACCUGUGUAUAUUUUUUUCGACCGGACAGCUAGAAUUAACUACCAGGGUUUAUCUGAUUUCAAACAUUAACACAAUGUUAUGGAAGACGUAAGGGGACUCAUCGAACAUAACCAAAAGCUAGCUAAAGCCAAUCACAAUAAAGGUAAAAAAGAACCAGUUGAUUACAAUCGAAACGAUAAAAUCUUCGUAGCCAACAAACAAAUUAAAACAAAGGAAAGUCCGAAAUUCAAAGCUAAAGAGGUACCGGAAGUAAUGAUACUGUUAAAACUAGGUCCGGUAAAAUUUUUCAUCAGUCGCACAUAAGGAACUAACAAAAAAAAAUACAAAACAAAUAAAACAAAAAACGUCCAUGCGUUUUACCCAUUGAAGCUAGUUUAAAAACAUUUUUCACAAUAGAACAGAAAAACACAUUAAAUUUAAAAACACAAACAAAAAACAUACAAAAAAAAUUUUUACGAAAAACAUACAAAAACACUUUUAUAAAAAAACAUAUAGUAUAAUUAAAUAUAACCUAAGAAAACACACUUACAACAUAGAAGCACUAAAAACAAGAAAUAAAUUUAAAAAAAACACUAAAACACGAAACAUAUAAAAACAAAAAAGCAUUAUACAAAAUCAACAAUAAAAAUGUUUCAAAUCACAUUAAGUAUCACAUAAAAAAAGAACACUACAGUAUAUACAAAUUUUUUCUUGUAAUUUUGGAAUUUGCUCACGUGCUGGGAGCUGUUAGCAUCUACAAAUACGGUGGCCUCCUUGUGGUGGUUUCCUUGCAACAUUUUUGUCGUGGACUUGGAAAGGAUGCGGCAACUAACGGAUGAAAUCACUAAAGAGGCAGCUAUGUUGACGGACAAUAGGAUAGAGCCAAUGGUGGGUCACUACCUAAGGGAUGCGGGGGAAGGAAUCAACCGGAUAACAAUUGUACCAAGAAGGAGACCACGUUCCAUAGAUUGGAUAGGCGCAGCUUGGAAAUGGGUAGCCGGAUCCCUGGAUGCAGCUCAUUGGAACGCAAUUCUAAGCUCACGAGAUACGGCUUCUAAGAACAACGACCAACAGCUAAGGAUUAACUCCAGAAUCUUUGACUUGACCCAUGAGUCAAUUCAACGAAUUAAGAACAUCGUUAUGAAAAUAAAUACCGUUGAUGAUCUUAUCAGAGGUGGACAACCUGCCGUACCAGAACACUAUCGCCAUAGAAUUUGCUCAACCAUCGAUCGUCACCAACGGAACCGUGUUGUAUAUCGUAGCGUUUCCAAAAGUGACGGACAGAAUUUACCUGAUCCAAUUUAUCUGAUCCACAUCUACCCAAUGGUCGAGGAGGGAAAACAAAUAAUACAAUACAAAUAAAACAAUACAUCAAACUUGCUACUGCGUUGGCUACUUUUAAACUUGGCCGAGGAAGUUUGGGCAUUCCAGUCUGGAACGGCGAGCCAAGUUCAUCAAGGAACAUUGAAGACCUUUAAAUUAAGAAUCUAAAAUAUUGCAAUAAAGAAUCAACCCACGGAACUGAAGCUUGAUUUAUUUGAGAAUGGAAUAUAUAGUCUUCAUGCAAUUCGCAACUUAGCAAAAUGUCGUGUUAAAUGGAUCGGCUAAGGCGUGACCAAAUGGGUCGCGCUAACUUAUAUAUAUAUAUGUCGGAGCAUAUUUUUGCAUGUGUUAGUGUAUGGGUAUGCUUUAAGUGCAUUUCAUCUAAUGGAAAUAUUGCAUCAGCCUCUAUUUGCGCAGUUAUUGGUCGUCUGAAUUUUGUAGUUUUGGGAAAAACCGUUAUAGCGCGGCGCCACCGUGUUGUCGCUGACGCCGAGUGUGGUUCGAUGGUAAGCACGUAGAAGAUGUGUGCGACACAAGUCAGUUGUGCGUUGAACUUCAGUGCGCUCGAAACUCACUGCGCUAACAUUAUGGCGGACAAAGACGAAAGUGUAUCUUUGACAUCAAAAGUGGGAUCUCCCUUGCUAUCUGAUAUGUCUAUGGCGCACAAUAGCGCUUUUGCUACACACAAAUCAAAUUUUUGAUGACAACGGAUAUCGUAUUCGACAGCGUUUUGCCGGUGCGGAAACUCCAGCGGCUAUGUUUUUGUCAAUGCUGGCAGAUUGUCCGACUGCCGGUGAAUGCCUUUUCAAUUAUGCUAGUCGCAUGAUGACGUUACGAAAUGGCGUGAUCUGAAUGUGGAAGAAAUUGCAGCUUCUGUAACGCUUGCUAAGAUGGCACAUGUGGAUAGCAGAUUGCAGAGAUUGACCAGAAGUGAAUUGCAAACGGAACUUAAAGCAUUUACCUCUACAAAAGGAAGAAACCCCUGGAAGAAAAAGCAGCUACGUCUGAAAUAAAGCGUCAUAAACUUUCAACAAUAAGAUGUCAUUUCUGUUCUAGGCCACAAGAUGAUCGAUGUAGAACUAAACAGCAGCAAAAUCUUUCACCUGGUGCUAAGAACAGCAACGACAGGAGCGCAGUUGGUCACCAUCAAAAAUUGGAUGUAACCUGUUUUAAUCAAAGAAAGAAAAAGGCACGCAUCAGGUGAAAUGGCUGGAGCUUUGUGAAGUUGUUGAACCCAAGUGCCAGAUGGUUCAUCAGUGCGAGACAUUUCCAAUAACUUUUGACUCUGGAGCGGAAUGUUCUUUAAUUAAACAAAAGUAAUAAAUUUGUUGGUAAAAGAA